rnacentral:tRNA from 1 species
CAGAAAGCUUGUGCAGCGGACGCGGUCGGGGCAGGGCCGUGUCCUCUCGUGUGUUGUCCUCAAAACCAGAGCCACCGCGGCGCCCGAACAGAGGCGCUGUCGCGUCUCCAAAGCCGGUGCUGAACGUGGCCAACACACACCCUUGUCGCGUGUGGCGGGUCGCGUGCUGUGAAUGAAUUCCCUCUUGUCCCAAGUCCACACCGGAGCCGAUCGUCUCCAGGGUGCCCACGGGGCGCGUCCUUGUGUCCCCGCGCUACCUUUUGUCUGUCUGGUGGCUUCGUGGGCGGAGAAGGACGUUUUCUGAGAAGGGGGAUCUGAAGGUUCACCAGGCCGCCUUGGGAGGAAGGUCACCUGGGGCGACGGGGUUAUUCACCGCCUUCCUCCUCAAGGUCGUCUCCCUCUGGGCGCGCGCUCCGGCCACUUCCCAGCGACGACGGAGCCUCGCCGGGAGAUUCCGGGCAGAGGAGCGCUGGGGUGAACCGGAGAGCGACACGCGGUCAAAGGAGAGAGUCAGGAAGGUACAGGUUCUGCACGGGGACAAGAGAGCCCGAUGGAAAGUGACAGGAGAACCGACCAUCCGGGAUCCCUUCCAACAACAGCAGGGAAGCCGCUGUGGUGAUCGUGGUUGGAAUAUUUGUCCACAACCCCCGGGGGGGGGGGACUGUUGUGACUGUGAACCUGCCGAGAAGAGGUCCUUGCUCUGCGUCCAGAGAGCCUCCCAGGUGCCUCGCUGUGGAUCUCCGGAAGCAUUUCCUGCCCGGGUGACAGCGAGAAGCUUUGGUGGUGCAAAGGCCCUGGGGUACUGAUGUGGGAAAUCUGUGAUACAGCCAGACUGCCCCGAGGAGGAGCCGCACGUUUGGGGUUCCAACCUGAGGCCACCUGAGUUGAGCUGCCGGAGAGCUUCCCUGAGGCCGUUCCAGGGCUCCACACCAAUCACAGCGAGGCCAAGGCCAUAAAGAGCAGAAGCAGGAUCGUGCCCGGAGAACCCGCGUGUGGCAAAAUGGAGGAAGGUGGUCCCAGCGGUUUCCCCUGCUGGUUCCUGCGCCCAGUCGGGAGUCAGGAGGAAGAAUCACAAGGGACGCUCGCUCGCUCAGCCUUUGCUCAGGGGUUCUGCCGGGUGAGACCCGCGGCAGACGUCCCCGUGGAUGUGGCUGCCCCGUGGGGCUUCAGGCGACCUUGCGGCCGUGCCUUCUUCUCCCGCGUUUCUUCGAGAACGCCCGCGUCCCGGGCGGCACCAAAUCCCACGCAGCGGGAACAACGUAAUAGUGGAGGAAAAAAAGCACGGGUGGAGGAGCCGGGGGUCGAACCCGGGGCCUCGUACAUGCGAAGCACGCGCUCUACCCACUGAGCUACACCCCCAGCCACAGGGGGCGGCAUCACCUGUAAAGUGAAAACCGCAUCCGCGGCUCACGUUGUAUUUCCGUCGGAGAAAGUAGACGCGCCCAGCUCGGCGAGUUCAGGCUGCACCUGCUGUAACGAGGUCUGCAGCCCAGUGGGGUCUCAGCCUCUCAAUGAGGGUCGGAGUUCCGGCCUCUGGAGGAGUUGUUUCCUGUUUCCUCUGCAUUAUUUCCAGCUUCUGUACGGAAAGGGCGCCGCCUAACGACCGCCAGCGUGUCGCUCCUCUUGUCACCGCCUGAGGGCUCAGCUGGCUUCUGAGAAGCAGGGCGCUGAGGGGGCGAGAGCACGAGACAGCCCAGACGUGUACAAUCCAGCGACUUCUACUCUGUCCUCAUCUAGGCACGCAACUUCCGAGGUUCCUUCGAGGAUCCAGACGAGUUGAACAAGAAUUUAAGGAUGAAAGGCAAGGGAGAAAUCUGGAACGAGGAACGAGGUCCAGUCACAGGGCUCGGGCUCUUCCUAGAGCAAAUACUUACACCUAGGGAGCCCUGCAGCUUGAAUUGUGCAGAUAGUGACAGAAAAUAGUAACUAUAGGAGGAGGGGUGACAGUUCUGUUCUUUUUGUCCUUGUUGUGACUGGUUUGUUGAUUUGCUUUUGCUUUGGGCGCGUAUGUGGAGCAGUAAGGGGGAAACGAAUAGUUUGAGUUUGGAUAGGCAUAUUUCAAGUAUCUACAGGAUAGCCCCUUGAGGCUGUCUCUUAAACACAUU